GGAUCGGUGGCCGAGCGGUCGAAGGCACCAGUCUUGAAAACUGGCGUGCGUGAAAGCGUACCGUGGGUUCGAAUCCCACCCGAUCCGCCA
rnacentral:tRNA from 1 species